CAUGAAGAGCCACAUUUGAUAUAUUAUCUCAACACAGAGUGCUUCAUUAACUAGGUGCUUCAAGUUUCAAGCCACUGGCAAACUCAACUUAUAAUCUUGAUGGCUAGAUAAGAUUUUGCACCCAGUAAUUUUUUAACAAGAGAUGCUACUCCCUUAGUCUCCAUUUGAGAAGCGGUGAUUCCAACUGGUUUAUAUGUUGCUACUAAUGCAAUCAAUUAAAGACAACAUCAUGCAUUUAAAAUUUUGGCUUUCUAGAAGAGAGACAUCUAUGGGACCAUGGAGAAAUAACAGAGAAGAGAAAAAAAAAAAACAAACAAACAAUAAAGAACUUACAAUUGGAUACACAAUACCUCCAAUAGAAGGGAGAAGAAAGUUCUCUCAGAGAUCAGAACCAGAAACCAUGGAGGAUUAUUAUGAGCAAAUCCCAAAGAGGUAAACUGGGUUCUGCUACAUUCCAGGCUAAUCAAGGAACUCAUUCUACUGCCAAAGAAGAUAGUCUUCAAUCCUGUCCAGCAGGAUAUGGUAUUGUGUUAUGGACCAGUAACCACUGUGUAGUUUCCAUUUUUCCAUUCUCUCCAUUGCUCAGUAGAAGUUCUUAUUGCAGUUACCAUGUUGCUUUUUAUCAUCCUCCUUGUUCACCUCUGAUCUUUUUCUUCUUAAUAGAACAUUGAUUUUGUUCAGCAAUGUAUCCUCCUCUGUACAUCCUCAUGCAUCA